GUACACUCCUGCGGGAGGCAGCAGUGGGGAAUAUUGGACAAUGGGCGCAAGCCUGAUCCAGCCAUGCCGCGUGAGUGAUGAAGGCCCUAGGGUUGUAAAGCUCUUUCACCGGUGAAGAUAAUGACGGUAACCGGAGAAGAAGCCCCGGCUAACUUCGUGCCAGCAGCCGCGGUAAUACGAAGGGGGCUAGCGUUGUUCGGAUUUACUGGGCGUAAAGCGCACGUAGGCGGACUAUUAAGUCAGGGGUGAAAUCCCGGGGCUCAACCCCGGAACUGCCUUUGAUACUGGUAGUCUUGAGUUCGAGAGAGGUGAGUGGAAUUCCGAGUGUAGAGGUGAAAUUCGUAGAUAUUCGGAGGAACACCAGUGGCGAAGGCGGCUCACUGGCUCGAUACUGACGCUGAGGUGCGAAAGCGUGGGGAGCAAACAGGAUUAGAAACCCCUGUAGUCCCAUG
rnacentral:rRNA from 1 species